ACUCGAGGCGUCCUGAGGGGGGAUACUGUCGAAGGUAUCUAUCCCUCGCUUAGGUAUGGGACGCAGCUCCUGCAAGAGCGGCGAGUCGAUAGCUAGUGGUGGGUAAGCCCCAGCGACGAUCAGUAGCUGUCGAGAGACGAUCAGCACACUGGACUGAGACACGACCAGACUCUACGGAGGCAGCAGUGGGAUUUGACAAUGGCGAAAGCCUGAUCCAGCAAUGCGCGUGUGGAAGAAGCUUCGGGUUGUAAAGCACUUUGUCCGAAAGAAAUGCUCUGGUUAUACCUGGGUCGAUGACGGUGCCGGAAGAAUAAGGACCGGCUAACUACGUGCAGCAGCGCGGUAAUACGUAGGGUCAAGCGUUAUCGGAAUUACUGGGCGUAAAGCGUGCGCAGGCGGUUGUGCAAGACCGAUGUGAAAUCCCCGAGCUUAACUUGGGAAUUGCAUUGGUGACUGCACGGCUAGAGUGUGUCAGAGGGGGGUAGAAUUCCACGUGUAGCAGUGAAAUGCGUAGAGAUGUGGAGGAAUACCGAUGGCGAAGGCAGCCCCCUGGGAUAACACUGACGCUCAUGCACGAAAGCGUGGGGAGCAAACGGGAUUAGAUACCCUGGUAGUCCACGCCCUAAACGAUGUCAACUAGUUGUUGGGGAUUCAUUUCCUUAGUAACGUAGCUAACGCGUGAAGUCGACCGCCUGGGGAGUACGGUCGCAAGAUUAAAACUCAAAGGAAUUGACGGGGACCCGCACAAGCGGUGGAUGAUGUGGAUUAAUUCGAUGCAACGCGAAAAACCUUACCUACCCUUGACAUGCCACUAACGAAGCAGAGAUGCAUUAGGUGCUCGAAAGAGAAAGUGGACACAGGUGCUGCAUGGCUGUCGUCAGCUCGUGUCGUGAGAUGUUGGGUUAAGUCCCGCAACGAGCGCAACCCUUGUCUCUAGUUGCUACGAAAGGGCACUCUAGAGAGACUGCCGGUGACAAACCGGAGGAAGGUGGGGAUGACGUCAAGUCCUCAUGGCCCUUAUGGGUAGGGCUUCACGCGUCAUACAAUGGUGCAUACAGAGGGUUGCCAAGCCGCGAGGUGGAGCUAAUCCCAGAAAAUGCAUCGUAGUCCGGAUCGUAGUCUGCAACUCGACUACGUGAAGCUGGAAUCGCUAGUAAUCGCGGAUCAGCAUGCUGACGAUCCGA
rnacentral:rRNA from 1 species